UACGAAGGGGGGCUAGCGUUGCUCGGAAUCACUGGGCGUAAAGGGCGCGUAGGCGGCCAUUCAAGUCAGGGGUGAAAGCCUGUGGCUCAACCACAGAAUUGCCUUUGAUACUGUUUGGCUAGAGACCGGAAGAGGUAAGUGGAACUGCGAGUGUAGAGGUGAAAUUCGUAGAUAUUCGCAAGAACACCAGUGGCGAAGGCGGCUUACUGGUCCGGUUCUGACGCUGAGGCGCGAAAGCGUGGGGAGCA
rnacentral:rRNA from 1 species